CACCUCUCUUGGAUACCAGAUGGAGAGCCUCCCUGGUGAUUUGCUGCUGCGCCUCCUCACCGUGGGGUGGGUAGAACUUGGAGAGCUACGGCUCCCCGUGUGUGGGAAAGGUGGGCAUCACCUCCACCAGGGCUGGGCCAGCCAAGCUGGUGGGCACUGAGGGCCAGCUUGACAUCCAUCUGCAACUGUGCUGGCUGGGUCAGGACCUGGGGAUCUUCGAUUGAACUGGGCUCCAGUGAGGGCUGGUGGCUUGGAGGGACGAGGCCGACCUACUGGGAAAGACUGCACAAGACACAUAGGAGCAACCGAGAUGACUGCGGACCGC
rnacentral:lncRNA from 1 species